GAAAAACUUUGGGAACGCAGCUCGGCAUGAACCAACUUUCAUCGGCAGACGACAAAGAACUGAAGGAGACAAACAGAGGACACGUCAACACGAAGUGACCCAUCAGCGUGUAAAGUUCCCCUUUCAAAGCUGAACAGAAACCAGUCUGACCAGUCCGACCGGAAACAGCACAGAACAAAACACCAACACUGAAAGACUGAAUUUACCUGGUCAGUUCAUUGGAGCGACUGAACAAACCCAUAAAUGAAGACCUGCCUGAUCCAUCUGUGUGAUCAACACCUGGUGAUCUGGAGUCAUCCUGUGAACUGUUUACGCAGGUCUUUCAACCAUGACACCACAGAAGAAUAACUUUCAAAGGAACAGAAAUGAAGCAGAUAGAAGGUACCAGGUGUGUUCAGGUGUCUGUCCUGGUCCAGUUUGACAUCAGACUUUAUCGCCAUGUGAUGUCAUCACAUCCUCUUCUUCGUUUCAUCAGAAACUUUGAUGCACCAACAUGCUUUUAUUUUGAAAUCAUUAAAACUAUUAAAUGAAGCUUUGAUCGGAAAACAUAAUAAAUUAAAUCAUCUGGUGAUCACGUGUUUCUUUGAUGUCUGUCAUCAGUUACUCAAUUUGUUUUCAGUAAUCAAUAAUCACGGACUUGGUCGUGGUCUUAAUCGGAUCAUGGUCUUUAUCGGGUCGUGGUCUUAACCGGGUCAUGGUCUUUAUCGGGUCGUGGUCUUGGUCGGG